rnacentral:hammerhead_ribozyme from 1 species
ACCCUGCUGGCGAAUCCCAAACAGGACGAAACGGCUGUUCAGUGU